AAAAAAUUUAAAAAAUUAUAAAAAGUUACAAAGACGGGCCAUAUCAGAAGUGAGAUGUUGAUCCCCAGAAAUUAAAAAGAUUUAUAAUUUAUGUGAUAUCUCGUACUCAUACGUCCCGUCGUACCCAUACGUUCCUUCGUACCCACACGUUCCCUCGUACCGGAAACAAUCAAAACAAUGUUCCACGUAUCCGAAUUCAUACCUCGUUUCGUAUCGAACCGCGUCCUAUGUAACUAUG
rnacentral:lncRNA from 1 species